rnacentral:rRNA from 1 species
GACAGAGGGUGCAAACGUUGUUCGGAAUUACUGGGCGUAAAGCGCGUGUAGGCUGCUUGGAAAGUCGGAUGUGAAAGCCCUGGGCUUAACCCAGGAAGUGCAUUCGAAACUUCCAAGCUCGAGUCCUGGAGAGGGUGGCGGAAUUCUCGGUGUAGAGGUGAAAUUCGUAGAUAUCGAGAGGAACACCGGUGGCGAAGGCGGCUACCUGGACAGUGACUGACGCUGAGACGCGAAAGCGUGGGUAGCAAACAGG